UCGUCAUACUCCUGCCUGAGGCAUCUUGCGGUGAUUCAUAAACCACUGAGCUGGCCCUACAUCUGUAGCCCAUUAGAGACAGCUUGGAAGACAGGUACUUCAGGGGAGUAAGUUCCAAGUUGCUCUUGCCUCAUCCCUCUUCCCAUAUCUCCCUGCUACUGGUCAUAGCAGGAAGGGACCCAUGUGGAAAAGUCCCAGUCAGCAUCUGUGGAGUCCAUCCCUGAAGUGUUAGAGGAGUGCACGUCCCCUGCCGAUCACUCUGACUCUGCCUCUGUCCAUGACAUGGAUUACGUCAAUCCCCGGGGCGUGCGCUUUACACAGUCCUCCCAGAAAGAAGCUACUCAGCAUAGAGCGACUGAACCUUUAUGCUGCUUCCCUGCGAGUAUGCUUCCUACUGUUUGAGAGCAUGCGAGAGCACCUCAAGUUCCAAAUGGAGGUGAGUUUCUUGACGUGGAAAGAAAAAGGGAAAAAAAAAUAGGGAGAUAUAUGGCAUCUUCAGUGGG
rnacentral:sRNA from 1 species